AGAGGUUAUCAGGCUGCUCGGGUGAUAAGCUAUCAGACAAGAGGCCGGUAUCACUGCGAUAAGAUAGAUAUGUAUGUAUUGUUUACGGGCACAAACGUAUAUUAGAAGAUAGGUGGAGAUAAGGCACCAUUGUGAGGCGGCAACGAGUUGAGUUCUACCGAUAAUAGACGAGAUGCUAUCGAGGAGGUGGUACCGAGGCGUCCCUGGGUGCGGGAGUGAGUGCGUGGCUCCAGGGGGAGGCACACAUCCCAAGCCUACCCCGCUGACAGAAGGGGGUGCCGCAAGGGAACUGCUGUCGGCCGCCCCUCACCACGCCGAGGCCUGACACCGGUCUCGGGCCGCCGCUACGAUGUUCUGUCUUCAUCCGUCCCCGAGCUGCCAGCAUGGGCGUCCGUGAGCCCCGGGGAGUUGCAGUGCCGGCCUGACCGGACGCCACACGCCCCAACGACCAAUUUUACGACUGUGCAACUCACUAACGUCUUGUUCACGCAGUGUGACUCACAUCAGUGCUCGCCCCUCGCCGAACCAGAAUCCCCUUUCGCCUGGCUGGGUUAUCGUGAGGCUCGGAAGUGACUGUGACAGGCCAUGCCGGGCACGCUUCUCGUCACUGUCUGGGAAAAGCGUGCAUCAUAUAAUACUAAAAUGAAAGAGGAAUAAACAAAUAUAUUUCAUC